rnacentral:rRNA from 1 species
CGGGGUGAGUAAUGUCUGGGAAACUGCCUGAUGGAGGGGGAUAACUACUGGAAACGGUAGCUAAUACCGCAUAACGUCGCAAGACCAAAGAGGGGGACCUUCGGGCCUCUUGCCAUCGGAUGUGCCCAGAUGGGAUUAGCUAGUAGGUGGGGUAACGGCUCACCUAGGCGACGAUCCCUAGCUGGUCUGAGAGGAUGACCUGCCACACUGGAGCUGAGACACGGUCCAG